CAUGCUAAUACCCAGAAUGCUUUUCCCCACACACCGCUUCUCUUAAUGGAAGCGCUCAGUUUGGAACAGGGGAAAGUUUGGAACACAUACUUAGCUCCCUCUUUGCAACUGUGGGAACUUCCAGCUCGCUCACAGGAUACCUGCACCCCAGGAUCUGAGCUGAGCGGCUCGGCGGCGGCUGCUUGCGCUUCCCGGGCAGACGAACCCUGGUGUCCAACCCUCGCGCGGUAGCAUCCUGGGGCGGGCAGGGGACAAAGCGUCCAGGCCUGGCGGCGGGGCCCGUGGCCACAGCCCGGUGUCUCUAGGGGCUGCGUGUGCUGGGAAUGCUCCGGGCUUGAGAAGGCCGGAGGGCGCUCCUCGACCCUUGAGGCAUCUCUACUUCCCUAAAGACUCCUGGGAAGCGCGGAGGGUCCCUGCUCUUGUCCGUCGCCCUACUGGUGCCAUUUCCCUGAGCUGGUGACUUCCCGCUCCCCGAGGCACAAAGCUCGAUGAAGGGCGGUUUGGGGAGAGGCCAGCGGCUGGCCUCAUCUCUCCUGGGCGCCUAGCCCAUUCACUUUGGUCAGUGAGCAGGGUACAGAAGCGGCUCUCGCAGUUUCGCCUGCCCCGGGCAAGGACCCCCAACCCUUCCUGGAGCUGGAAGCAGGGAAGCGGUCACAGGAGAGCUCUGGGGAUUUUGCGCAUCAAAGCGGGGUUACCAGGGUGCCAACAUUCGUCCAACCUGCGGGUGCGCACCGCAGGCUGGGGGGCCCGGAUCUACACCCUUCGGUCUUCCACCCCCCGCACGCUCGCCGCCACAUUCAGCGGGCAGGGGAGGGGCAGUAGGAGCGGGUUUGCUGGCUCGGCGCUACGUUUGCAUUGGUCCGGGGGGGCUAGACUGCAGCCCCCGGCCCCGCGGGCGGGGUGGGUAGGAGGGGGCCGACG
rnacentral:lncRNA from 1 species